UACGUAGGGCGCAAGCGUUGUCCGGAAUUAUUGGGCGUAAAGAGCUCGUAGGCGGUUUGUCGCGUCUGUCGUGAAAGCUUGGGGCUUAACCCCAAGUCUGCGGUGGAUACGGGCAGACUAGAGGCAGGUAGGGGAGAACGGAAUUCCCGGUGUAGCGGUGAAAUGCGCAGAUAUCGGGAGGAACACCGGUGGCGAAGGCGGUUCUCUGGGCCUGUACUGACGCUGAGGAGCGAAAGCGUGGGAAGCGAACAGG
rnacentral:rRNA from 1 species